GAUGAACGCUGGCGGCGUGCCUAAUACAUGCAAGUCGAGCGACGCGGGGACGGGUGAGUAACACGUGGAUGAACUCCUAUGAGGCUGGGGUUACUUCCUGGAACCGGUGCUAACACCGAACCUUAUAAAUGGAUCCGCGCCGCAUUAGCUGGUUGGUAAGGUAACGGCUUACAAAGGAAACGAUGCGUAGCCGACCUGAGAGGGGUAUCGGCCACACUGGAACUGAGACACGGUCCAGACUCCUACGGGAGGCAGCAGUAGGGAAUCUUCCGCAAUGGGCGAAAGCCUGACGGAGCAAUGCCGCGUGAGUGAUGAAGGUCUUCGGAUCGUAAAACACGGUUAGGAGGGAAGCGGUACCUGCUCAGAAAGCCACGGCUAACUACGUGCCAGCAGCCGCGGUAAUAC
rnacentral:rRNA from 1 species